rnacentral:tRNA from 1 species
GGGGAUGUAGCUCAGUUGGGAGAGCACCUGCCUUGCACGCAGGGGGUCAGGAGUUCGAAUCUCCUCAUCUCCA